rnacentral:rRNA from 1 species
CAAAGAACUUUGAAGAGAGAGUUCAAGAGGGCGUGAAACCGCUUAGAAGCAAACGGAUGGAGCGGACGUUAGUCCCUGGGAUUCAGCCUAAUGGGCGUGGUGCGCGUGGUUUGCCUGCUCUCAUUCAGACAGGUGGCUGCGUUAGUGCUGCGUUCAUGGGUGCAUUUCUCGGGGAUCGCGCCAAAGGCAGUGAGGGUGUCGCGUUGGCCUUGAGUUGGUGGCUUGUUGUUUCGGCAAUGAGUGUCUCACUUGGGUGUCCGGUGCGGUCGCUUUUACUGUGAUGGAAAGAGUACCCGCCUCUAGCUUGAGACUGCUGGCAUCUGCGUUGACGUGGCUUGGUUCCGGUUUCUGGACCCGGCUCGUUGAUGUUGGUGUAGGUGGUAUCUCGAGUGGUGCUCGGCUUUGGUGUUUUGUCUGUUACCCAUCCGACCCGUCUUGAAACACGGACCAAGGAGUCUAACAUGGGCGCGAGUUACUGGGUUGCAAAACCUAAGAGCGUAAUGAACGUAAAGGCUGGCUCUGGUCAGCUGACAUGGGAUCCGUGGCUUCGGCUGCGGCGCACCAUGGUCCCGCCCUGACUGCAUUGUCAGUGGGGCGGAGAUAGAGCGUGCAUGUUGGGACCCGAAAGAUGGUGAACUUUGCCUGAACAGGAUGAAGCCAGAGGAAACUCUGGUGGAAGUCCGUAGAGGUUCUGACGUGCAAAUCGAUCUUCAGAUUUGGGUAAAGGGGCGCAAGACUAAUCGAACUAUC